GCUCAGUGAGGCCUUCGGACUGGCUCGAGGAGGUUGGCAACGACCACCUCAAGCCGGAAAGUUCGUCAAACUCGGUCAUUUAGAGGAAGUAAAAGUCGUAACAAGGUCUCCGUAGGUGAACCUGCGGAGGGAUCAUUACACAAAUAUGAAGGCGGGCUGGAACCUCUCGGGGUUACAGCCUUGCUGAAUUAUUCACCCUUGUCUUUUGCGUACUUCUUGUUUCCUUGGUGGGUUCGCCCACCACUAGGACAAACAUAAACCUUUUGUAAUUGCAAUCAGCGUCAGUAACAAAUUAAUAAUUACAACUUUCAACAACGGAUCUCUUGGUUCUGGCAUCGAUGAAGAACGCAGCGAAAUGCGAUAAGUAGUGUGAAUUGCAGAAUUCAGUGAAUCAUCGAAUCUUUGAACGCACAUUGCGCCCUUUGGUAUUCCAAAGGGCAUGCCUGUUCGAGCGUCAUUUGUACCCUCAAGCUUUGCUUGGUGUUGGGCGUCUUGUCUCUAGCUUUGCUGGAGACUCGCCUUAAAGUAAUUGGCAGCCGGCCUACUGGUUUCGGAGCGCAGCACAAGUCGCACUCUCUAUCAGCAAAGGUCUAGCAUCCAUUAAGCCUUUUUUUCAACUU
rnacentral:rRNA from 1 species